rnacentral:rRNA from 1 species
GGAGGGCGCAAGCGUUGUUCGGAAUUACUGGGCGUAAAGGGGGCGCAGGUGGCUUGGUAAGUCCUAUGUGAAAGCCCGCGGCUCAACCGCGGAAUGGCAUGGGAUACUGCCGAGCUUGAGACGGGUAGAGGCGAGUAGAAUUCCCGGUGUAGCGGUGGAAUGCGUAGAUAUCGGGAAGAAUACCAGUGGCGAAGGCGGCUCGCUGGGCCCGUUCUGACGCUCAGGCCCGAAAGCGUGGGGAGCAAACAGGGAUUAGAUACCCUGGUAGUCCACGCCGUAAACGAUGGGCACCCAGGUGCCCGGGGAGUGUGACCUUUUCGGUGCCCGUAGCUAACGCGUUAAGUGCCCCCGCCUGGGGAGUACGGCCGCAAGGCUG